rnacentral:snRNA from 1 species
CAGGUGGGGAGUUUGGCUGGGG